UACGAAGGGGGCUAGCGUUGCUCGGAAUGACUGGGCGUAAAGGGCGCGUAGGCGGUUUGUACAGUCAGAUGUGAAAUUCCCCGGGCUUAACCUGGGGGCUGCAUUUGAUACGUGUUGUCUAGAGUGAGGAAGAGGGUUGUGGAAUUCCCAGUGUAGAGGUGAAAUUCGUAGAUAUUGGGAAGAACACCGGUGGCGAAGGCGGCAACCUGGUCCUGACUGACGCUGAGGCGCGAAAGCGUGGGGAGCAAACAGG
rnacentral:rRNA from 1 species